CAACCUAAAAACCAGCCAACAACAAACCGCCCCAGAGCGUACAGCGAGCCCUGACCGGAGGGAGCUGCGGCGCAACUCCCCCGCCAGCCAGAACCCGCGGGUACCCAACAGGCGCCUCCCCGCGCCCGCUCUGUCAGCUGUGCGGGGCAGCCUCGCGGCUCCCUCACGAAGAGGGGGCUGGAGAGGCUGCCGCUGCGGUGGAGAAAGGGGAGGGAAAGGGAGGCGGUAGACGAGCUGCCGCCGCCCGCCUCCGGGCCACCCCCCCCCGCCCCCCGGCCCAAGGCGAUCCCCCCGCCCUGAGGCAGGGCGGCCGCGCUCCCCUCGCACGCGCUGCCGCCCCGCUCACCCGCCUCCGGCAGCGCCCUGCCGGCAUCGACAGCAACCCCCUGCCUGAGGAAAGGCGAGGGGCGCAGCCGCCAUUUACCCAGCAAGCUCCAGUUAACAGUCACUCAAUUGAGAAGACCACAGGAGACCAUUCCAAGAUGAAAGAAGCAUCUAUAACUGCCACUAAAAUCAAGACCUUGAAAUGCAUCUCAAGGAAGAUCCAGCUGCAGUGCUGUAGUGGGACCAGGGAGCACCACUUAUCAGGUUUCUCUACAGCGCACCACCAAAGCGAGAGAACGGCUACACUGUGCCCAGAAGUGUUUCCAAGUCGUCUUCCAUUGUGUCUUCUAAUAGGGCACUCUACAGCAGCUGAUACAGAGGUGACUGAAUACAACUUGUUUUAGCAAGAUGAGAUAAUGGAGAUGUGAAGAGACUAAAAUGAUCUGGAUGGUGGUCACAGAAGAAACCUGCAAUUACGCUCAGAAUCAGCAAUAUUUGCAUCCUUCAGUCCAGAAACUGACGCAGCCAGAUGUCAUUUUGUACUAAGUUCAGGCAUUUACUAAAAGGUAGUUUAGCUUCUCUCCAAAUAAAAAAAUCAAACUAUAAGUAAUGAUAUGCUGGUUUUUAUCUUGUAGCUCACAUGUAGCUCAUGAUUCUUAGCUCACAGUAUUUGAUGAAGGAUUGUCUUUGUUCUGCUUGCACAGCUCCAAACGUAACAGUGUCUGAAUCGAACACUGGGGCUCCUGGGUUAGUGAAAACCAGGAAUAUUUGGAGCUGGAUCAAUCCCAUGCUGUAUUUACCUAGGGCGUACCACAACUGAAUGCCUGGUCUUGCUAAGAAUAGGAUAGACAUAAAAAAUAGAAAAUCUAGAAUGAUGUUACGGUUCUUAAAAGAAAAAAAAUGUUCAGAUGUGACGAUACAACUACAGAACAUCUUCCGCUGAUGCGAGGUGCAGUAAAUUACAAGUUGGAAGUAUCAAAGGCAGUGUUAUAAUGGGGAGAGCUGUCAGCAAACAGGCAUGGAACAGUGAAAGAUGAAAUAGCCUUUCUCAAGUCAUGCAGCCUCCUAGAAGCUUCCCAUCCAGUGUGAUACAGAUUACACUGAAGGUCUGAUGAGACCAGUAUUUUUGUGUAUGUGUGGUGUCGGGUUAUUUUUAAUACUUCCUACAAUGGGAACAAAUGGUACCAGGUUCCAGAAGCACUACUUGGCACGCUUAUUACAAACAUCUAUUUAAUUAAAAAAUUCUCAGCUUCUGUAAGAAGUCACAAAGCCACCCAACCUGCCUCUAAAAAACAAAGUUACCCAAUGACAACAUAUGCCUCAGCAUCUGGAGAUUACCGUGCAACAUACGCAUCAAACCUUGUUUGCAAAGACUGAGAGAGGUAGUAGCUUGCUUUUGGCCCACCUGCUACAUUGUUAGAUUAUUAUCCUUGAAACACACUGAAUGAUUAUGUAGAGAUAACUUCAUGCUUGACCAAGUAUACAAUGCAAUUAACAUUUUAAAGCCAUUUGGUACAUGUCUAAUCUUAACUGCUGUCUUCAUAUUUACUCCUGUUCCCGUAUUUACUGAUAUUAAUUUAUUUGUUUUUGCCUUGUCUUAUCCUAAGCUAUCAAAUCUCUCCUUUCUUGUCAGCAUACAUCAUCAGCCAGCUCAUCAUCAUCAUCGGCUCAGGUAGUAGGCACACUGGUAGAAGCAAAGGGUGGGCUAGACUUGGUUGUAAAUAUCACUAUGAUGGUGGGCUUGGCAGUGUUUGUUUACGGUUGGACUCAAUCUUAAAGGUCUUUGCCAACCUAAGUGAUUCUAUGAAAUGGAAACGUUAUCCAUAAACGUUUAUCAUGUGCUAAUAAUUCUGUACCAGAUUCUGUGAGAGACAGAGAAUGGAGAGAUUUGGACCUAACACUCUCCAAAGGCCUUUGUGCUCAGCACAGUUGAAAUAUUCUUAUCUGUGUCACACACCUGACACAGCCAGAAGUGCCCCUGAACCUCCAAGAAAGACCCUUUGGUUAGUAUUGUGCUAGAUAAAGCAAGAGCUAAAGAUGAUAGAAGUUCUCCUCGUGCUCAAGAGCUGAAAGGGAUACUUUGAUUACAGCAACAAUGGGAUAGUGGCAGUGCUGAUGUUUGUACAGCCAAACGAGGCAGAAGGGGCUUCUCCUGUUGCCACACAUGGCACAGACCCAGUCUAGCUGUCAACCUUUGGCUUUCGUUCUCUCCCAGUCUCCUCACAUCUCAGCUGUUUUGCCUUUCACAUGCAUGAAAUCAUGGAUGCUUUCCAAGAGAGAUGCUGAGGGCAUAAAACAGUUGUGACCCCCAAGUUUCUGGAAUGAAAAAAUGAAGAUCCUGAGGUAUCUCUGAGCAAUUUGCCUUUUCUCCUGACAUUUCUGCAUGUCCCAAUUGCUUCCCCUAAUUGAAGUUCUAUUUUUCCUGUUUGCAUCAUACACUUUUCGGUGCCCUGUGUGCUAAAGGGAACAGCACAAGUUCUCUGACAGGUAUGAUACAGCCUGACACUAAGUCGCAAUAAGACGUACGUGAUAAGAGAGCUCAACGUUUAUUUGGGAUGGGUGGUAUUUGUGUAGGGAGCUCUGCUAGUGUGCAGGGCACAGAGAGACCUUAAUGAAACAUGUAAAACCUUUGCACUUGUUUUGCCUCCAAAACAAGAGAACAUAUGGUCUGACUCUGAUUAAUGCACAAAAAUGUUAAGUAUCAUCUGUUUUAAAAGACAAAAGGUGGUUAAGAUUUAUAGGGAAGCUGGGUAACCCCAAACCUUUCAUCAAUAUCCCCUCUCUGUGGAAGUGAAUGGAACAGGCUUCCCCAUAUACAUGCACCACAGAGGGGACUGCCAUCCUGCACAGCCACAGGCACUUUAUGGCAGUAAUUGGCUAGUGGAAGUGAAGGAAUUAAUUUGUACACAUAUAAAUGCAGCAUUAGGAAUGUGCAGUAGCAUGCAGAGGAGUCAUUUCAAUUUUACUUGUUUAUGUACCUCCUGUAAAAAUAAUCAUUUAUGGUCAUUAUAAACCAGUAAAUCAGUAUAUUACUGCUGUCUCCUUUGGUCUAGUUUAUUUGGCAGCUGGGUUUGUUAGCCCUGUUAGGAACCAAGGUUGUCAGUCACCCCACUAUCCACAACUGAAAAGGACAUUAAAAAGAGGUGGAUGCAACACUGGGCUUGAAUACUUAAAGAGUAGUCGCCCAUCCCUCUAUCUGCAGGAGGCA